GCAAGUCGAACGAUGACUCUGUGCUUGCACAGAUGAUUAGUGGCGAACGGGUGAGUAACACGUGAGUAACCUGCCCUUGACUCUGGGAUAAGCCUGGGAAACUGGGUCUAAUACUGGAUAUGCACCGUGGACCGCAUGGUUCUUGGUGGAAAGAUUUUAUUGGUCAAGGAUGGACUCGCGGCCUAUCAGCUUGUUGGUGAGGUAAUGGCUCACCAAGGCGACGACGGGUAGCCGGCCUGAGAGGGUGACCGGCCACACUGGGACUGAGACACGGCCCAGACUCCUACGGGAGGCAGCAGUGGGGAAUAUUGCACAAUGGGCGAAAGCCUGAUGCAGCGACGCCGCGUGAGGGAUGACGGCCUUCGGGUUGUAAACCUCUUUCAGUAGGGAAGAAGCGAAAGUGACGGUACCUGCAGAAGAAGCGCCGGCUAACUACGUGCCAGCAGCCGCGGUAAUACGUAGGGCGCAAGCGUUAUCCGGAAUUAUUGGGCGUAAAGAGCUCGUAGGCGGUUUGUCGCGUCUAUCGUGAAAGUCCGAGGCUCAACCUCGGAUCUGCGGUGGGUACGGGCAGACUAGAGUGAUGUAGGGGAGACUGGAAUUCCUGGU
rnacentral:rRNA from 1 species